ACCUUGACUGUGGGAAUAAAUUAGUGAUGUCAUCUCAUGUUGCUUAGGGUCAUCAAAAUUUGCUUCUCAAAGCUCAUGCACACUGCCACAUCAUAGCAAUGAUCCAUCCAAAAUCGCAUUUUAUAUGAUUCGUUUUGCUGAUUUUAUUUUCUAGGAUUUGAGUUUUUAUCUCCUGAUUAUUUUUUGUAGAGGUAUUAAUUUUCCUUUUUGACUGGAAAUUUGAGGGUUUUAAGUAUAAUGCUAUCAAAUUAAUUCUAUUUUUCUAAUUUUCUGAUUUUGGUGCAAAGCACGGAGUGCUAAUAUACUGAUCCUGGGAUUUUUUGUCUUUGCAGGAUUUUGGUCUUUGAAAUGGAAAUGGAUGAGUUUGGGAAAUGGGUUGUCUGAUUCCAAAGCUAAAGACUUGAAGGAGAUUUGAGUAGUUGGAGCGUUUCCCCUAAGUUUGAUUCACGAAAUUCAGUAUCUUACAAGCUUAUUCAUGUAAACAUUUUUAUGAAAUAUUAUUACUGCUUCUGAGUAAGCCUUUGUUUGGAGCACGUUGGAAAGGCUCGAGAUGUUGGUGUCAAUAGAAUUGUGCUUUUCCUCAAAGUUUCAGAUGCUUUGAAAGGUUUUCCUCUUACUCUCCGGCUUUUGUUCAACUGUUUUGCAGUGUGAUUUGAUUUUUUGGAUGGCUUUUCUGGAUUGUUCUUAAUUUUAUGUUUUCUGUUUGCAUUUGAUUUGGUUCAAUGGAGCUAAUAUGUAAAUUAUCAAAUAAACUUAUGUAGAGACAUGGGUUCAGCCUGAAUAGAAAUCCUAAUAUUGAUA